AUGAACAUACUGGAGUACAUCAAGCCUGACAAAUUUCCAAACAAGUAUAUCCUCAAACGGCACACAAAGACUGCAAGAUCACAACCAACCUUUGAUACAAGGGACUACAACACAACCGCAUCGGAUGGCAGCUCAAGGCUAUCGAAGCAAGACAUCUUGCUGCAGCUGAAUUUGAUGGUUAACAAGAAAGCGAUGAGAUGUGACCAGCAAUAUGACAGAGCCUACUAUGUUCUCAAGAGGCUUGUGGAAGAGCUUGAUGCAAUACAUUCAGCAAAUCAAGCGGAUGCUGACGAAAGGAUGGCUGAAGAGGACGCUGAAAUUGAAGAUGACCUUCAUUAUUAUGCAGCUGAAAUGCUCAAUGCCGCCGCUGAAGCCAACCAAUGCAAGCAGGGUGAUGGCCAAUCAAUGGAGCAGCGGCAGCAAGAGACGAUGAAAUUGCCGUUGUAUUCUGAAACAAAGGGUAGGAAGAAAAUUACUGCAGCAAAGAAAAGUGACAAGAGAGCUCAAAUGAAGGCACCACCUGCAGGAAGAGUCGUCGUGCACGAUGAGGAUGGAGUGCCACUUGGACACAGGAAAUGCUAUGUGUGCAACCAGGUUGCGGGACACAACAAACUGACCUGUCCAACACUAUUGGAAAGAAACAAUGCUGAGGAGAUCAAGCAAACCAAAUCUCAAAAACAGCAGCCCAAAGUUCAGGAACAAAAGAAGGGACCACACCCAAAGAAAGCAAGCAGCAGACUUUGUAGCAUAUGCAAGGAGUAUGAACCACAUAAUGCAAGAACAUGCCCGAAGCGCGCAGAUGCUGAAAAGAUGAGCAAAAUGCCAGAGAAGAAACAGAAAGCAAGACCUAGAUCCAACAACAAGAAAGUGGUGGGAGAUGAAGAGGAAGACGAAGAUGAAGACACCGUCGAAGAAGAGGAAGACGAAGAGGAAGAGGAAGUGGAAUGCGACGAUGAAGAGGAACACAUCGAUGAAGAGGAAGAGGACGAUGAAGAGGAAGAGGAUGAUGAAGAGGAAGAGGUACAUGUCAAGCAAAAACCUCUACCACCAAAGCCUAGGAGGAGCGCAAGGCUCAUGAAUAGUUAG
rnacentral:rRNA from 1 species